rnacentral:rRNA from 1 species
GAUGAACGCUGGCGGCGUGCCUAAUACAUGCAAGUCGAGCGAACAGACGAGGAGCUUGCUCCUCUGACGUUAGCGGCGGACGGGUGAGUAACACGUGGAUAACCUACCUAUAAGACUGGGAUAACUUCGGGAAACCGGAGCUAAUACCGGAUAAUAUAUUGAACCGCAUUGUUCACUAGUGAAAGACGGUUUUGCUGUCACUUAUAGAUGGAUCCGCGCCGCAUUAGCUAGUUGGUAAGGUAACGGCUUACCAAGGCAACGAUGCGUAGCCGACCUGAGAGGGUGAUCGGCCACACUGGAACUGAGACACGGUCCAGACUCCUACGGGAGGCAGCAGUAGGGAAUCUUCCGCAAUGGGCGAAAGCCUGACGGAGCAACGCCGCGUGAGUGAUGAAGGUCUUCGGAUCGUAAAACUCUGUUAUUAGGGAAGAACAAAUGUGUAAGUAACUAUGCACGUCUUGACGGUACCUAAUCAGAAAGCCACGGCUAACUACGUG